UAAUACCGCAUAAGAUUGUAGUACCGCAUGGUACAGCAAUUAAAGGAGCAAUCCGCUAUGAGAUGGGCCCGCGGCGCAUUAGCUAGUUGGUGAGGUAACGGCUCACCAAGGCGACGAUGCGUAGCCGACCUGAGAGGGUGAUCGGCCACAUUGGGACUGAGACACGGCCCAGACUCCUACGGGAGGCAGCAGUGGGGAAUAUUGCACAAUGGGGGAAACCCUGAUGCAGCAACGCCGCGUGAGUGAUGACGGCCUUCGGGUUGUAAAGCUCUGUCUUCUGGGACGAUAAUGACGGUACCUGAGGAGGAAGCCACGGCUAACUACGUGCCAGCAGCCGCGGUAAUACGUAGGUGGCGAGCGUUGUCCGG
rnacentral:rRNA from 1 species